GGCACAUAGGGCUAAAUUAGUGUUUGCUGUUGUUAUCUUAUUAUAUCCCCAUUUCACGGGUGGGAAUAUAUGCUCAGAAAGGUUAAACAACUUGUCUGAGGUCACACAGAUGGGGGAGCCAACUGUCAAACCCUGCUCUGUCUGACUCCAGAGCCCACACCCUUUCUUCCCGCACUGAGGGCUUCUCUGGGCUGACAAGUUUCUCCUGAAUGCCCCAAGGAUGGGGUGUCUUCCCACAGACACUAUUUAUUAAUCCCUUCAGGGCCCAGAUGGAAUGCUGCCUCCCCUGGAAGCUUCCCAGGGCACUUUCUCUCUGCUGCUCACUGGCACACGGUGGGCCCUUCUGGAGAACACCAGAGCUGCCCCUUGUCUCUUCUCUGGAGGGUGGAGAACGUCAGUCUUGCCCACUGUUGUGGUCAUCAACACAGACACAGUCUUAGCUCUCCAGAGACGCUGAGUCCUGACACAGACACCGGUGCCCAGGCAAGCCUCUCGCUGGAAGUCAGACAGCCUGUACUGGCAGAGCUGUGCCUGGAGCUCCGGCCUCCAGACUCCCCACCCAGUGCCUUUCCUCUGCUCAGGACUUCCUCCAUGACGUGAGCACUUUGCAGUGACAGCAGCUCAUUCAAAGGAGAUCUUAGUCACUGUUGGGCUGUGGAUGGGGCUCACCUGUAUCUCUGACCUCCCCACCUCCAUCCCCAGCAGGUGUGGCGCCGGCCGCCUGAGUGCCUGUAAUACAUAGAGGACGACGCUAGAGGGGGACCUCACUGCUUUGAUCCUUGUGACCCAAGGGCUUUAAGCAGCCUCAGAUGAUGAUGAUGAUGAAGAAGAUGACGACCACAUGGCGAUGACGAUGACCACAGCCAGAACUACUAUUUAUUGAGCCAAAUCUCCUUUCAAUAACCACGUAUCAUCUCUAAUCAACGGGUCUUCCCACACACACCCCUUUCUCCUGCUGUGUUCUGCAUCUCAGAAAGUGGACCAUAUCCACCCAGCUACCCAAGCCUGAAACCUGGGCAUCACCAUCAGCUUCUUUCUCCCUCACUCCGUCCCCAUUAUCACCUACUCCUGUCUAUUCUACCUCCUAAAUCUCAACCCAUCCACUUCUCUCCAUUCCCACUGUUUGUCCUUCCCCUCCAAUUCCCCAUGCAACUUACAGAGAGCCCCAGGCUCUUGCCUCAAGCCCUGGUGUAGACCAGUUGUUCCUGAACUUUGCUGCACAUUAGAAUCACUUGGGGAGCUUUGAAAAUGCUUGAUGCUACUCACCCGUCAGACCAAUUAAGUCAGGAUGCUCGGGAGUGGGAGCCAGGUGUCAGUGCAUUUUAAAGACCCCCAGGUGGUUCUGGUUUAUUACUCCAACCUUGCUCUGAGAGGUCUCACACCCUUCACCUGGGCAACUUCUGCUUCAUCUGGCAGGCCUCCGUUAACAUUGCUGCCUCCUGGAAGGCUUCCUGGGUCACACACAGAUUCACAUAACUGCUCCUCCCCCAUCUCGACACUUAGCACGCUGUGUUGUUGCUGCUUUUUCAAGUGUCUGCCUCCCCCACUCACCGCCUCCCCUUCCUCACUGAGUGCAAGGACAGUGCUCCCUGUUGUGUGGAAACAUCAAUGGAGCAAAGGUUUAAAACAACAUGAGAGGCUAGGAACUGAUUGCUGCACUCACCUGUGACCACCCAGCUCACUGUGACCACUCAGCUCACCUGUGACCACUCAGCUGGAGACAACGAACGGACCGACAGGCCACCCUGCUGUGUUCACUGAGACAGCAGACCUACCUACUGUUUCAUCAAUCAGUCUCACGACUAUUGUAAAAGGGACAUUUCAAUGCUAAGUGAAACAUCCUCUCUGGGGGUAUAUAACCUCUCUGUGCAUCCCACUUCUUUGGUGCCCUUUCUUCCUUUGGGAAGAAAGGCCUCAGGCCAUGGUCCUCAGAUUUCAGCUCAGAAUAAACUCACCCAAAUUUUCAC
rnacentral:lncRNA from 1 species